rnacentral:rRNA from 1 species
GUGGCGAACGGGUGAGUAGCACGUGAGUAACCUGCCCUUGACUCUGGGAUAACUGCUAGAAAUGGUAGCUAAUACCGGAUACGACCCUCGGAGGCAUCUCCAGGGGGUGGAAAGAAUUUCGGUCAAGGAUGGACUCGCGGCCUAUCAGCUAGUUGGUGAGGUAAUGGCUCACCAAGGCGACGACGGGUAGCCGGCCUGAGAGGGUGACCGGCCACACUGGGACUGAGACACGGCCCAGACUCCUACGGGAGGCAGCAGUGGGGAAUAUUGCACAAUGGGCGAAAGCCUGAUGCAGCAACGCCGCGUGAGGGACGAAGGCCUUCGGGUUGUAAACCUCUUUUAGUAGGGAAGAAGCGAAAGUGACGGUACCUGCAGAAAAAGCACCGGCUAACUACGUGCCAGCAGCCGCGGUAAUACGUAGGGUGCAAGCGUUGUCCGGAAUUAUUGGGCGUAAAGAGCUCGUAGGCGGUUUGUCGCGUCUGCUGUGAAAUCCCGAGGCUCAACCUCGGGCCUGCAGUGGGUACGGGCAGACUAGAGUGCGGUAGGGGAGAUUGGAAUUCCUGGUGUAGCGGUGGAAUGCGCAGAUAUCAGGAGGAACACCAAUGGCGAAGGCAGAUCUCUGGGCCGUUACUGACGCUGAGGAGCGAAAGC